GGGGCAUUCUCAGAGCAAGGGGCCUUAAGAAAUGGCUCUUCAGUACACUACACACCAGACAGGAAUUUGGGGUCAUUGUGACAACGGACACAAAACUUGUGGCCUUCCUAUGAACAAACACCCUCCGUGU